GCUAACCAAUGGCUUCAAACUCAAGAGAAAUUCUAGGGAGAAAUAUUCAAAGUGGUAAGAUGGAUUGAACUGCCAACCAAAAUUGUCAAUCUUUAUUUCAGUCUUCACUAUUAAGCUAAAAAGGUAAUUUUUCUCUUGAAUGAUGUGAAGAAUUGAAUUUCUUUCAACUGUUCCAAAAAUCUGUCAUAUUUCCCAACUUUUCAACAAUUUUCACGUGACUCUGACCUUUCUCCAAACUGUUCCGAAAAAGGAACAGUUAAGAGCCCAAUUCCUGCCUGCCACCCUGUGGGGCAGGCAAGAUGAUAUUAUACAUCUCUUACAAAACAAAGAUACAGACUCAGAAUGGCUAAUAGGAUAUUGCUGAGGCC